AAUCCGUAGAUUCGAAAGGACUUUGUUUAACUUUAACUUAGAUGAACUUGAUCUGCUUUUAUGAGCUUUGAUUCCAUCUUCUUUUGUUGUACAACCAUCUUUAUUUGGGAUCUUUCAUUCUUUCGAUGAGUUUUGUUGAAGAACAAAGUAGAGGCGCCUCAGCAAGAUUCGAGAAAGAACAACACUCAAGGAGGUAUAACGUAGAUGGUUUACUCUGACGUGAAUUGUAUUUGUAAUUAUUUAUUUAAAUUUGCGAUAUAAUAAUUGCUUGUUUGAUUUCGUGAUUUAUAAGUUGAAUGAUGAUUUUACGGUUAUUGUGACGUGUAUAAGAAGUUUUAGUGAAGUAUAAAGUAGAGACACUUGAUCAAGAUUCGAGAAAGAAUGACGCUCGACGAAUAUGGUGCAGUAGAUAGUUUACUUCAAUGCCAAAAGCAGUUGUAAAUUUUUGUUAAACUCGUGAUAUGAUAAUUGUUUGUUUGAAGUUGUGAUAUGGUAAUUGUUUGUUUGUGUUCGUAAAGUAUAAGUUAAAUGUCGAUUGUAUUAUUGCUCUGAUGUAUGUGAAGUUUAUAAUUGCUUGUUCGAGUUAGUGAUUCAUAAGCUGAAUGAUGAU